GAACGCACCUUGCGCCCUUUGGCUAUUCUGGCGGGCAUGCCUGUUCGAGCGUCAUUUCAACCAUCAAGCCCUAGGCUUGCGUUGGAGCCCUGCGGCCGCCGCAGCCUCCCAAAACCAGUGGCGGGCUCGCUAUUACACCGAGUGCAGUAGUUUACUCUUCGCUCAGGUCGUGUGGCGGGUGCUAGCCGUAAAACCCCCUACUUCUUAAGGUUGACCUCGGAUCAGGUAGGAAUACCCGCUGAACUUAAG
rnacentral:misc_RNA from 1 species